rnacentral:rRNA from 1 species
AUUGAACGCUGGCGGCAUGCCUUACACAUGCAAGUCGAACGGUAACAGGUCUUCGGAUGCUGACGAGUGGCGAACGGGUGAGUAAUACAUCGGAACGUGCCUAGUAGUGGGGGAUAACUACUCGAAAGAGUGGCUAAUACCGCAUGAGAUCUACGGAUGAAAGCAGGGGAUCGCAAGACCUUGUGCUACUAGAGCGGCCGAUGGCAGAUUAGGUAGUUGGUGGGAUAAAAGCUUACCAAGCCGACGAUCUGUAGCUGGUCUGAGAGGACGACCAGCCACACGGGGACUGAGAAACGGCCCAGACUCCUACGGGAGGCAGCAGUGGGGAAUUUUGGACAAUGGGCGCAAGCCUGAUUCAGCAAUGCCGCGUGCAGGAAGAAGGCCUUCGGGUUGUAAACUGCUUUUGUACGGAGCGAAAAGGCUCCCUCUAAUACAGGGGGCUCAUGACGGUACCGUAAGAAUAAGCACCGGCUAACUACGUGCCAGCAGCCGCAGUAACAC